rnacentral:rRNA from 1 species
AGCGAACGCUGGCGGCGGGCCUAACACAUGCAAGUCGAACGAACUCUUCGGAGUUAGUGGCGGACGGGUGAGUAACACGUGGGAACGUGCCUUUAGGUUCGGAAUAACUCAGGGAAACUUGUGCUAAUACCGAAUGUGCCCUUCGGGGGAAAGAUUUAUCGCCUUUAGAGCGGCCCGCGUCUGAUUAGCUAGUUGGUGAGGUAAAGGCUCACCAAGGCGACGAUCAGUAGCUGGUCUGAGAGGAUGAUCAGCCACAUUGGGACUGAGACACGGCCCAAACUCCUACGGGAGGCAGCAGUGGGGAAUCUUGCGCAAUGGGCGAAAGCCUGACGCAGCCAUGCCGCGUGAAUGAUGAAGGUCUUAGGAUUGUAAAAUUCUUUCAUCGGGGACGAUAAUGACGGUACCCGGAGAAGAAGCCCCGGCUAACUUCGUGCCAGCCGCCGCCGUAA